UACGGAGGGUGCAAGCGUUGUUCGGAUUUACUGGGCGUAAAGCGCGCGCAGGUGGGUGAACCAAGUCGGAAGUGAAAUCUUGAGGCUCAACCUCGAGGCUGCUCCCGAAACUGUUCGCCUAGGGACUGGUAGAGGCUGGUAGAAUUCCCGGGUGUAGCGGUGGAAUGCGUAGAGGAUCGGGAAGAAUACCUGUGGCGAAGGCGGCCAGCUGGGCCGAGUCCGACAC
rnacentral:rRNA from 1 species